AUGAGAACUUUGUGCUAGAACUGUCGCGGGAUUGGCGACCCAAUGACAGUACAUGCGCUCCGCGAUCUCGUGGGGGCCAGUGCGCUGUCGGUUCUUUGCAUUGUCGAGACUCGGAUUGUGAAGAAUCGAGUGGAAGGUUUGGCGGCUUCUUUAGGUUUUCAGAGUAGUUUCACAGUAGCUAGUAGUGGGCGUAGUGGAGGUUUAUGUAUUUUUUGGAAGUCAGAAGUCAAUUUGGUAAUAAAGAAUUUCUCUCAGUAUCACAUUGAUUCUUGGGUCUCGGAACAAGGUGGGGAGCAGUGGCGCCUUACUUGCUUCUAUGACGAGGCUAAUCGAAGUUUGAGAUACAAAACUUGGGAUACUAUGAAAAGGUUGAGAGGUGAAAGCACUCUUCCGUGGUUAUGCAUCGGGGAUUUUAAUGAAAUCUUGCAUCAGGAGGAGCAGAUGGGCCCCAACACAUGAGACAGUGCACAAAUCGAAGGGUUCAGAGAAGCAGUUGACGUCUGCGGCCUGUCGAUCUUGGGUACAAAGGGCUGGGCUGGACAUGGGAGAAAAGGGUGA
rnacentral:rRNA from 1 species